rnacentral:rRNA from 1 species
UACGGGGGGAGCAAGCGUUGUUCGGAUUACUGGGCGUAAAGGGCGCGUAGGCGGCCACCGCAAGUCGACUGUGAAAUCUCCGGGCUUAACCCGGAAAGGUCAGCCGAUACUGCGGGGCUAGAGUGCAGAAGGGCAACUGGAAUUCUCGGUGUAGCGGUGAAAUGCGUAGAUAUCGAGAGGAACACCUGCGGCGAAGGCGGGUUGCUGGCUGAUACUGACGCUGAGGCGCGAAAGCUAGGAGAGCGAACGGG